UGCCAUAGGAUCUUGUGUCAUGUCAGAAGUUUGUGGUUGGGUGUAUGAGGGUCUGAUGCCAUAGGAUCUUGUGUCAUGUCAGAAGUUUGUGGUUGGGUGUAUGAUGGUCUGAUGCCAUAGGAUCUUGUGUCAGAAGUUUGUGGUUGGGUGUAUGAAGGUCUGAUGCCAUAGGAUCUUAUGUCAUGUCAGAAGUUUGUUUUUAUGGUUGUGUGUGUAAUAAGAAGCUGAUUUUGUCUUUUUAAAAGACAUGUUUCAAGAUUUUAUUGUCAAAAUAUUUUUAAAAAAAACCUACGUAUUUUUAAUGUUCAUCAUGGUGUAAAAAUAAUAAGACCAACUUUUUAAUAAUAUACUUAACCACAAAUCUUUCUUUAUUGACAAUAACAUAGUUAUUUAUUAAAUAAAUUACAAAAAUCUUAUUUUUCUGGCAAUAGAAAGAUUUUAUUGAGAAAGCAAAUGAUUAAAAGUGUUUCGAGGAAAAUAUUGUUUCAGUUCAGCCUUACUAACUCAAUGCAAAUUGAGAAAAUUGUAUGUGUGAUUCUAUCCACGUGACCAGGCAUUGUCUUUCAUUCUAUGUUGAUCCAGGUUGAUGUGCAUUUAUAAUCAUAUUUAUUAAUAGAUUACAUUCUUUGUGUUGCUGAAAUAAAAUAUUCUUUUCAUGUUU